GGCGAACGCUGGCGGCGUGCUUAACACAUGCAAGUCGAACGGAAAGGCCCUGCUUUUGUGGGGUGCUCGAGUGGCGAACGGGUGAGUAACACGUGAGUAACCUGCCCUUGACUUUGGGAUAACUUCAGGAAACUGGGGCUAAUAUCGGAUAGGAGCUCCUGCUGCAUGGUGGGGGUUGGAAAGUUUCGGCGGUUGGGGAUGGACUCGCGGCUUAUCAGCUUGUUGGUGGGGUAGUGGCUUACCAAGGCUUUGACGGGUAGCCGGCCUGAGAGGGUGACCGGCCACAUUGGGACUGAGAUACGGCCCAGACUCCUACGGGAGGCAGCAGUGGGGAAUAUUGCACAAUGGGCGGAAGCCUGAUGCAGCAACGCCGCGUGCGGGAUGACGGCCUUCGGGUUGUAAACCGCUUUCGCCUGUGACGAAGCGUGAGUGACGGUAAUGGGUAAAGAAGCACCGGCUAACUACGUG
rnacentral:rRNA from 1 species